UGAAUGAAGGUUGAACUUUGCAGAGGGAGUUACAUAAAACGGCUAUUUCUGAAACAGGAUCAAUCCCGACAAAAUGCAUUAUUAAUUUCUUGGUGAUCCGAGUCAGGAUAAUUAGCCCAUCAAUCAGCACACUGUUGAACAAUAAAUAAAUAUGUAUUAAACUACUUUUAAAGGCAAGAGACUGGGCUAGAGGCUGUGAAAGAAAAAAAGACUUUUCAGGAAGAGUCACUGCACCCAAAAGAAGAGUAAAAAUUUAAAUCGCAAUUUUCGAGAAAUGCUGCAAGAAAUCAGCUCAAGAAAUGCUGCAAGACAGACGUAUGGCACAGGCUGGAAGUUCCGUGUUUGCUGGGAUGAGGGUACAAAAGAGUCCCUUCCAACCCCUCUUCAGACCUGAUGACAACCAGCAGCAGCCCAACAUCCUCUCCUCUCCAGACCAACCAUCCUCCCUGCUUCCCCCCAUGACUCAGGAUCCAGCAACCCUCUGGCCCCACUUCCUACCCAGGGAAGGCUCCUGCCAAAGGCGGUGCCCAGCCCGGAGCCUGGCACUCCAGAUGUAUUGGGGUCAAAGAUCUCGCAACUGUAAUUUAUCAUCCUCUGAACGUGAUUCAUCUAGCAAAACAGCUUAACGUUGCCUGAGACUUCAGCCAUCACACUGCAUUGCGGGAACGCUGCCACCCGGCUCAGUAAAGCUGAUGAACUUGAGAGAGUCUUCGAGGGAGAGAAAAAAACUAGAUACAAAAGAUGGUGAGACCGGUUAUCUGAGGAGUGGAAGGAAGGAUUCCAGGAAUGUGGUAGGAGCUCUGAAAAAAGAUUAUUGUAUGAACAAAUGAACGAAGGGCCAGUAGUUGAAGGGCUUAUCAAGCUUUUGGCCUAAGAAGAUGAAUGAGUACCUAUCACAAGCCCUUGAGAAAAACCUGCCAUCACAGCCUCAAUCCCACACGGCAUGUGACAAGAUGGACAUUUUGCUUCUCUUACUGUCUGGUUCACUUAAUUUUCCGUCCAGCUCUCACCUGUGACCAUGUAGUCUGUGCUACCUGUAACUCACCUGAAGAAGAGUCACAGAAUGCUAAUAUUGAAAAUGACUCUAAUUUCAAACACAGAGGCAAUUGCUAAUGAAACUUAUAAAUUGAACAAGGAAAAAUCAUGGGCUAUACUUACAUAAAUAAUGUAAUUUUGUCUCCUAGUGCCCCAUUAUAACCCUGCCCUUGGCGAGGUGGGGGUCCUUGACUACUUUUCUGAUUUAUUUUGGUCACUCUUAGGGAAAUGAAAGUCUUUCGAUCACUGUAAGACCCACAGCAUAAUUUCAAUAAUUUAACAU